UUUCCUGUGGCUCAGUUGGUAGAGCAUUGCGCUAACAACACACUGUGAUUGUGGGUUCCAAUCUUAGGGAAA